AAUGAAUGCAAGGAGAAGCCUGGAAACUUAUAGACAUGAUUCUGCAUCUAGGUACCGUAGUACCUAAGAAGACACCAUAAAUGGCGAGUUGUAAACUUUCUAUGAGUACAUGUGACAAUAAACCUAAUUCGAACCUCUUGUAGCAUCUAAAAAGUACUUGGACAUGCACCUGAAAUCCUGUAAACUGCCAGGCUAUGGACUGAAAGCUGGAAAAUAGGGUGAGGCUGAACAGGUCUUUUAUGCUGACACAGAUAUGAUGGACUGAAUGGCAUCCUCUGUCUCAAAACAUUUUGCAAAAGAUCCCAUUCAAACAAGGAAUCCAAUACUCCACACUCUGGAAAGGUUAUACUAAUUACCAAACACUGAUAUAGGAUGGCUAUAUUAAUCUAUGGUGAAUAGGUGCGUACAGAUUAAAGCUGAAUACAUAUACGUGCUCUAGAUUGUGUUGUUUUUUUUAAGUAGCUCAAAUUACUAAAAAAAAGUUCCUUCAGGUUUGAAAGUCCCAUGACAUAUCCUUAACACAAUACCACCAUGUCCUGAUACAAUCUCCCUCCACAAUUAAUUAGAAAAACAGCUCCCAGUAAUCUACAUAUAACAAGAACAGGUACAUUAGUUUCAAAGGCAAUCCACAUUUAGUGUUGGUCACAAAAGUUAUUGUACACAAUGUAAUUAGCAAUAUUGGGUGUGGAAAAUAAAUGUUAGGGCCUAAGCUAGAAUUACAGUUAAAUUAUUUCAGUAAGCAUUAAAAUCAUGCACUUUUACUAUCGGAUUUACUCUGUUUCUUCUCAAAAAGCAUUUGUUACUAGAAAAUUGAAAUUCUUCUUGAAGAUCUUUUGGGAAACUGUGAGUGGCACUAUUUCCCUGUGCAAUCUUGAAGGAAAAGCAAUAUAUCUUCUGCAGACUCCCAUGGAACCACUUCAGCUUGAAAUGCAGCGGGUUCUGUCAUUUUGAUCUCAGAGACCAACCGAUGCAAAGGAUAGUUCUUCCUUGGAAAGACAACAUCUGUUGCCGUCAAGACUACAGAAGGGCAGAAGUCAUUGUUGCCAUCACCAACAUAGAAGAUCUUCUCAUAUUCAACUUCCUCGUCAGUGCGUUCUACCAAGUGAUCGUGCAAGAUCUGUCUUUUGCACAUGUUGAUGGGGCACUGCUGACACAUGUGGGAAUGGUACUGGAGGAUCUUGCUCGUAUACUCAGUCCAAUGUCCAUCCUCAGGAGGUUGCAGCAAUUCUUCUGGAAGAUUUUGGUCAGGAUUACAUUUCAGGAUGACAUGAUCAGAGUUGUGUUGAAUGAUGGUUUCAUCAAAAUCAAAUACAAUCAGAAACUUUUUCAUUAUUAUGGUGUAGAGUUACCAGAUAACAGGUAAAAUGCUCCUGCAAAACAGAUAAAAAAGACUGCAUUAAAUACGUUAAGAGAAUGUCAAAAGACUAUUAUCAUGUGUUGUGUCAGUGGUGCUGGGUCAUGGUACCCAUUUACUGACCUUGAUUAUGAAACAAAUGCAAGAAACAAUGAAGACCUUGAAUUUAGGCAGUGCCAUUUUCCUACUAUGGAAGUUCCAAUGUUGU